GCGAUUGAACAAAGUAAUUGACCUGCAGACAGGUUCUAAUGGGCUAAUCUUAGUGUGCAUCUUUGGUCAUCCAGGGGAUGGUACCGGGUAGAGUACCCAGGAAAUUUUAAGUACCCGAUCGCGCACCUGUUUACAAAUUACACUACCCAAAUCCAUACCAAACCUGUAUCUGUGCCAAACCCAUUUACCAUUACCCAUACUACCAAAAACUUCCCAAACCCAUUUAACUCGUGAUCACAAAAAAUAAAAAAUAAAAAAUAAAAAGAAUUUCAGGCAAAAUCACACAUUAGCAUUUUAAUGAAAUUCAGAAACCCAUUUCAAUCUCAUAAAAACAACACUGAAUUCAUUCAAAAUAGUGUUUAUUUCAACAAAUUUUAAAUAAAUCUCACAAUUACAACCCUCAGCACAUUUGCAUAAAUCUUAGCAUUUCCAAGAAUUCCAGAAAUCUUACAUUUUCAGAAAUCUCAAUAAAACAACUCCCAAUCCAUUCACAAUAGUCUUUAUUAUAACAAAUUAUCAAUAAAUCUCACAUAUACAACACCGAACACAUCCACAUAAAUCUUAACAUUUCCAGAAAUUUCAGAAACCCGCAUCAAUAGAUCUCACAAAAGGCACAUAUC
rnacentral:lncRNA from 1 species